CGGCCGGGCGGACGCCGCCAUGGACAGCCUGUUCGGCCGGAAGAAGCAGAGCCGGGUCAUGGAGCAAGAAAAGGCCAUCCUGCAACCGGAGCAGCAGUGUGGCAAGCUGAAGCAGUACCAUAAGUGCAUCACACAGCAGCUGGAGCAGGAGCGGGCCCUGGCACGGCAGCUGCUGCAGGACGGCCGGAAGGAACGGGCCAAGCUGCUGCUCAAGAAGAAGCGAUACCAGGAGCAGUUCUUGGACAAGACAGAGAACCAGAUCAGCAGCCUGGAGACCAUGGUUCAGAGUAUCGAAUUCACCCAGAUUGAGACGAAGGUGAUGGAAGGGCUGCAGAUUGGAAACGAGUGUCUGAAUAAGAUGCACCAGGUGAUGUCCACAGAAGAAGCGGAGACGAUCCUGGACGAGAUCCAGGAGGCCGUGGAGUACCAGCAGCAAAUAGAUGAGCUGCUGGCUGGAAGCUUCGCUCAGGAGGACGAAGAUGCCACCCUGGAGUAGCUGAGCGCAAUCACUCAGGAACAAAUAGAGCCGCCAGAGGCUCCUGCAGAGCCCCUACCUGAGAAGAACCCAGAAAAAGUCCCUGUCAAGGCUAGGCCCAGGCAAGCAGACCUGGUGGCAGCUUCGUAA